ACAUACCCAUGAUUGCACUCCAUGUCGAUUACAACCAAACAUUUUCUGGUAAAACCUUUGACCGACCACACUAAAUCACCUUUCCUAUUUCACCAAUAUCCAUUCAUUUUGUUCCCCAUAUUUCAGAUUUAAAUAUCUCAAAUCUAUCACUGUGUUGCCCUUGCAAAAAUUGCAGACAACAAACAAAAAAAUUUAGGGUGUUUUCAAA